rnacentral:rRNA from 1 species
UGGGUGAUCUGCCCUGCACUUUGGGAUAAGCCUGGGAAACUGGGUCUAAUACCGGAUAUGACUACAUGCUUCAUGGUGUGUGGUGGAAAGUUUUUUCGGCUGGGGAUGGGCCCGCGGCCUAUCAGCUUGUUGGUGGGGUGAUGGCCUACCAAGGCGACGACGGGUAGCCGGCCUGAGAGGGUGACCGGCCACACUGGGACUGAGACACGGCCCAGACUCCUACGGGAGCA